UAGAAAAAUGGAAGCCUCAGGCCUCAGGUCCAUGUCUUUAAUAUACUGAAAUCCUAUGCAGAAUCAUUUGCCAUUUUUCUAUUUCCCUGUGCUGAUGUUCAUUCUUUCUACCUAUUAAAAAAUCAAUAAGAAUAACUCAUGAUUCUGCCUAUAUAGAUGUUCUAUGUUACACACAGUCCAAAGCAAAUGGAAGACAAUGUUACCACUGGAGUAUUUUGGAGUCCAAUAAGCAUCAAUCAAAACACAUAAAACACAAAUAAAAUCAAUUAAAAAUGCUCAUAUUGAUACUAUUUCCAUACUGUAAGUGAUACUUUAUAUUACAGAGUUUUACUAAUCAUGUAACAACAAAGUCUAUAAAUGAAGUAUACUGGUACCAGGAGCCUUCCCAAACCCCUAAACAUAUUACUAUCUUUCAUUGAACUCAACCAUUAUUUACAGAGUACAUAUUAAGUUACACACUAUAGAAUUUAAUAUUGGUUUAGCUGGGGACAAUGGAAGUGAUGAAUAAAAAACGUUUUACAGGUUGGGAAACCAUUUUUUUUAAUCAUUUAUAAAAUUUAUCAUAAGCUUUAAUCUUCCUUCCCUAAGUCUGGUCAGUGAAAGUCUGAGAUGUAACAGCUUAUACUUGAUUUACACUUAUGCUGAAUUACACAGAUAAAUCAAAGUCAUUUAUUCCCUCUGAUAUUAUUAGUCAUUCAAAGAAGGCAUUUCUCCUAAAAGGCCCAAUUUUUCCUUUAAUGGCAACCUAGAGAAUUAAUCACACUCAUAAUGUAAAAUGGGUUCUCAUAAACAAGAAUGAUUACACAGAUAAAAAGACAGUAAAGUAAUAUUUAUCAAGCAUCUGUUAUGUGCCAGGCAGUAUGCCUAUUUAUUGUGAAAAUUAAGUCAGAGGAUCUUGCAAGGGAAGUAGUAUUAUAUUCAUUUUUAUAGAUGAGGAAACUAAUGCUCAAAAGAUUAAAUGACUUCCCCAGAUGGUAACCCAGCAAAUAAAUGAGAAUUCUGAUUCAAACCUAGUUCUGCUCUCUUCACUUACCAUAUAAGAGAAGAGGGGUUGAUGAUAAAAUGCCUCAUAGAGGAUAAAAAAUGUCAGUAAUAAGUAAUGAAAACAGAAGGAUAACAAAAAAAGGAAAAUUAAUUGCUUGGAUGGCUCAGUGCAGUUAAAUGACAUAGGGAUAAAGGCAGUGGAUAAACUAGGAAGUGAGGAUAGAGAAUGCAAAUGGAUGAAGAAGGAAGGCCUUUUGAAAAGCUUGAAGUAGAAGAAAAAGAACAGAAUCCAACUUCAAUAUACAUGUAUUAUAUUCUUUAGAAAGUCUUAACUCCUAAAGUUGCAAGUCAUGGGCUCUACUACCUUAUUUAAUUGUUCAGUAAAUGCUAAUUUAUGUGACUAAGUGUAAUCUACUAUUUCUUUUUUAAGUCAACAUUUACAGAGUGCCCACUAAGUGCCAGACAGCAUGGUAGACCCUGCGAAUACAAAGUUAAAAACGACCUCAAACUGUUCAUAGUCUGGUCUGGACAAAUAAACCAAACAAUUACAAUACAGAAGGAAGAGCACUAUGGAAGCACACAGCAUACCUAAGCCAGAAUGGAAGUCAAGAAAGGCCUCCCAAAGGUGGUGUCUCAGAUGAGUCACACAUAUUAGUACCUGUGACUACCACCAAAAAAGUAUGUUGAUUCCUAUUCAUGGUCGACUUGGGGUCUGACUGAAUGCUUACUAUUAGGACUACCCUUUGUCAUAAGGCAAAGCCCACAGGGUCUAGUGCACAGGUCAGCAGGCACAAAGAUACUGAUUCACGAUGAACAAACCUCUAUUAAGGAGGCAAAAUAAUGGACAUAGGAAGAGGGUAACUUUUCAGCCAAUGUAAUAAUAAAUGCCAAGAGGUAAAUCACAAUGGUGAUGUGGGUCAGAAAAAGGAUUAAGAACAGUAUCUUAAAUUUACAUACUCCUUUACUGUUUCCUAAAUUCUUUCACCUUUAUUAUAUCACUUCAUUUCACUCUCCAAAAACUUCUGUGAGGUACACAACUAGAGCAGGUUUUACUACCGUUAACCUUUUCCCCCCGCCCCGUAUUUUAUAGAUAAGAAAAUUGAGGGUUGGAGAGAUUAAGAGGUUUUUCCCAAACCAUACUGCUGUCAAGUUGCCAGGGCUCAUACUCACAUUUGCUAACAUGUAACCCAGUGAGUUACACGUUAACUCUUCGACUACAUGACUUGGUAACUUCCUACAGCGUCCUCAGACCCUCAUAGCCAUUGGAUUUACAAGGUGGUUAGUUGGCCAGCGAAGGAAGACAAAAAAUACCACAAAUCAUCAAGAAGACAUAUUGAAAAGAACCAGAAUGGACGACGUGUGAUCAUAACCUUUGCCUACUGGCAAAAGAGCUGAAGGGAAAACCUUGACAGUGGCAUGGAUGACAACAGCCCAGAAGAACGGCACCUGUUGAAAUAGUCUGCUGCACUUUAAGCGUGUAUUCUGAUUAUCUUUUCGGAAAAUCUAACUCUGUUAAAUUCUAAAGUGGGACCAGGGACCAGCUCAAUUCUAGUUUGGGCAGCAUAAUGACCUAUUUAAAUGGUCGCUGUUUGCUCCCAGUCUUAUUAUAAUGAUAAAUCCUGCGGAACUCUCUCCAUAAAUGUUCCCUGUACACUCCAAAUAUAAACUUGCCACAACAAGAAACGAUUAAUUAGCACACAGCAAAUGACAAACCCAAGAUGGAAACACAAGUCAGUCGGACGGCAACAGCAGUGAUCUUCCACCCCUUCAUUAUAUUGACUGGUUGAAAACCUCUCUCUAAUUUGUCCCCGUAGCAAGUGGUAUCUUAAAUUUUAAGAAUUAUAAUAUCCAUCCUUGGCAAGGAUGUGGGUAAUCCACUUAAUCUCAUAUACUGGUGACAGGAAUGUAAAUGUGCACAGCAUUUUUGAAGGGAAAUUUAGCAGAAUUGAUUAAAAUAUUGUACAUCACCUUCAAUUUAGCAAAUAAUGUAUUUUAGAGUAAUUCUUAUAAGCACAAAAAAGUAUGUACACUGGUUAUUACAGCAUUGUAAUAGUGAAAAAAUGUAAACGUGAAUGUCAACAGAAAAUUGUUAAUGGCAUAUUCAUUUCUAUAGGAAGCUUUGCAUGUGUAUCUCGACAUUAAGGUCAUAGAAAGAUCCAAGAUUAAAAAAUUUUUUUUCAGUAAUCUUUAACUAUUUCUAGUUUCCUGAAUUGUCCUUGUCCAUAUUCUUUAUACCUUUGCAUUCAUUGAACCUGCCUUAAACACUCUCCCCUAGCCUGUCAAUUUGGCAAACUGAUAUGUUCACAUGUCAGCUCAAAUAAUACUUCCUCUGUGACUUCACAGGUACUUUAGAUGAAUUUUUUCUAAUGCUUCCUCUUGUUUCUGUGGUACCUUUUUAUUGUACCUAAAUUAUAAGCUCCACAAAAACAAGAAUGUUUCUUUUUAAGCACCCAGAACAAUAUCCUUCACAUAGGCACUAAUAAUUAUUGAAUAAUAAAGAUUUCUGUAAGUAUAAUCAUUUAACUUA